rnacentral:lncRNA from 1 species
CAGCAUGGCGGUAGGAGUUGCUCCUUACAGUUUUGGUUUGAAAAGUUUGAUUCCUUGAUUUAACCCACCACCAGUACAACAACCAUCACUCUUUCAUUCACCAAAAAUUGGGUCACCAAAAGACAAGGCCCUCCACAGGAUUGAGUGACAACAUCAUAAGCUUCAAAGGAAAUGCAAACAUUUGUUUGAAAAACCGGUAAAAUCCUAAGAAAAAUCCACCUCUGAAGAAUCCACCUCUGAAAUAAACCUGG